GGUUCUCGGGCGUUGGCCCGAGCUAAGACGGGAACGCGGUACAAGCCGCGGCUGCCCCCGCAACUGUAAGCACUGAAGGGUUCGGCACAGCCACUGCGCAGGCGCGCGGGAAGGCGCCGGCCCACCGGCCAGCGAGCCGCAGCGGUGCGAGCCAGGAGACCUGCCUCGUGACG
rnacentral:ncRNA from 1 species